AUUGAACGCUGGCGGCAGGCCUAACACAUGCAAGUCGAACGGUAACAGGAAGACGCUUGCUUCUUUGCUGACGAGUGGCGGACGGGUGAGUAAUGUCUGGGAAACUGCCUGAUGGAGGGGGAUAACUACUGGAAACGGUAGCUAAUACCGCAUAACGUCGCAAGACCAAAGAGGGGGACCUUCGGGCCUCUUGCCAUCGGAUGUGCCCAGAUGGGAUUAGCUAGUAGGUGGGGUAACGGCUCACCUAGGCGACGAUCCCUAGCUGGUCUGAGAGGAUGACCAGCCACACGGGAACUGAGACACGGUCCAGACUCCUACGGGAGGCAGCAGUGGGGAAUGUUGCACAAUGGGCGCGAGCCUGAUGCAGCCAUGCCGCGUGUAUGAAGAAGGCCUUCGGGUUGUAAAGUACUUUCAGCGGGGAGGAAGGGAGUAAAGUUAAUACCUUUACUCAUUGACGUUACCCGCAGAAGAAGCACCGGCUAACUCCGUG
rnacentral:rRNA from 1 species